AACGAACGUUGGCGGCACGCUUAACACAUGCAAGUCGAACGAACCCUUCGGGGUGAGUGGCGCACGGGUGCGUAACACGUGGGAAUAUACACAUAGGUAAGGAAUAACACAGAGAAAUUUGUGCUAAUACCUUAUAAUAACUCCGGUUCAAAGAUUUAUCGCCUAUGGAUUAGCCCGCGCUAGAUUAGUUUGUUGGUGAGGUAAGAGCUCACCAAGACUACGAUCUAUAGCUGGUCUUAGAGGAUGAUCAGCCACACUGGAACUGAGACACGGUCCAG
rnacentral:rRNA from 1 species